GAUGAACGCUGGCGGCGUGCCUAACACAUGCAAGUCGAACGGUGAAGCGCCUUCCUUUUUGGUGGGUGUGGAUGAGUGGCGAACGGGUGAGUAACACGUGAGUAACCUGCCCCCUUCUUCUGGAUAACCGCAUGAAAGUGUGGCUAAUACGGGAUAUUCUGGGUCUGUCGCAUGAUGGGUCUGGGAAAGAUAUUGUUUCGGUGGGGGAUGGGCUCGCGGCCUAUCAGCUUGUUGGUGGGGUGAUGGCCUACCAAGGCGGUGACGGGUAGCCGGCCUGAGAGGGUGGACGGUCACACUGGGACUGAGACACGGCCCAGACUCCUACGGGAGGCAGCAGUGGGGAAUAUUGCACAAUGGGCGCAAGCCUGAUGCAGCGACGCCGCGUGAGGGAUGGAGGCCUUCGGGUUGUGAACCUCUUUCGCCAGUGAAGCAGGCCUGCCUCGUUUGUGGGUGGGUUGACGGUAGCUGGAUAAGAAGCGCCGGCUAACUACGUG
rnacentral:rRNA from 1 species